rnacentral:rRNA from 1 species
AGAGUUUGAUCCUGGCUCAGGAUGAACGCUGGCGGCGUGCCUAAUACAUGCAAGUCGAGCGAAUGGAUUAAGAGCUUGCUCUUAUGAAGUUAGCGGCGGACGGGUGAGUAACACGUGGGUAACCUGCCCAUAAGACUGGGAUAACUCCGGGAAACCGGGGCUAAUACCGGAUAACAUUUUGAACCGCAUGGUUCGAAAUUGAAAGGCGGCUUCGGCUGUCACUUAUGGAUGGACCCGCGUCGCAUUAGCUAGUUGGUGAGGUAACGGCUCACCAAGGCAACGAUGCGUAGCCGACCUGAGAGGGUGAUCGGCCACACUGGGACUGAGACACGGCCCAGACUCCUACG